rnacentral:sRNA from 1 species
CAUCCAUAUCAGCCGAAUCUCCGGCGCCUGCGCGUCGGAGUACGGGGGAUGCCAUACAGGGGAUUUCCCUUGGGGUGAAUCGUGCGGGGUGGACGCUCACCGCGCGCGAGGGGCGGCUCGUGCCCCAACCCGACAACUAACCCCGGAGGCAGACGAGAGGUGAUGG